AGAAUGAACGUUGGCGGCGUGGAUUAGGCAUGCAAGUCGUACGGGCCGCAAGGCCAGUGGCGCAAGGGUGAGUAAGGCGACGGUAACCAACCCCAUGAUUGGGUAUAGCCGCGGGAAACCGCGGGUAAUCCCCAGCGACGUCACGCGGAGGCAUCCCCGCGUGACCAAAGCCCCGGCGUCGUGGGACGGGCUGUCGUGGUAUUAGCUUGUUGGCGGGGUAACGGCCCACCAAGGCACCGAUCGGUAGCUGGUCUGAGAGGACGACCAGCCACACUGGGACUGAGACACGGCCCAGACUCCUACGGGAGGCAGCAGUGGGGAAUUUUGCGCAAUGGGGAAACCCUGACGCAGCAACGCCGCGUGGAGGAUGAAAUAUCUUGGUAUGUAAACUCCUUUCGAUGGGGAAGAUUAUGACGGUACCAUAGAAGAAGCCCCGGCUAACUUCGUGCCAGCAGCCGC
rnacentral:rRNA from 1 species